rnacentral:lncRNA from 1 species
AGAUGUGGUCUUGCUGCAGAAGGUUAUACUGUGUCUGGAUACAAAAGAACAUUCUAUUUUACAGAUACGAAAACCCAGAGAAUAUUUAAACUAAUACUCCCUGGAAUUAGGACAUCUGUGCUGUCUCCAGGACACCAGAGCUCUCCCGAAGGAGGUGCCUCACUUAUUAACAUCGUAACUCACGUAAGUUGCUUGGAGUCACCACACAUGGAAAAUUGCAUUCUGCAAAGUGUUGAAGCUGCAAAGUCACCAGCUGAGUCGAUAGACUUUUAUUUUAACGAUGUUUGUGAUCAAUAUUUAAGCAGGAUUGACCGAGGCUGCUGCACCUCUCUUCUUCCAGCUGCUUGUGAAAGAUAAAAUAUUUACUUGCGGGAGGGGUCAGCGGGGGGAGUUACAAUGGUUUGAGGCCAAGGGGGUAGUUUAAGGGUAGUAUAGAGCCAGAGUGCCACAGAGCAUUAGCAUCAAGCUCUGAUGGGCCCUGAAGUCUCUCAGGGCCAAAGUGGCUUUUGUUCAGACAUUCUGGGCAGGUUAUGAGAGAAUGAGAAUUUACAGAAAGAUUUGGUCACUAGUAGUAUAAAC